UACGUAGGGGGCUAGCGUUAUCCGGAAUUACUGGGCGUAAAGGGUGCGUAGGUGGUUUCUUAAGUCAGAGGUGAAAGGCUACGGCUCAACCGUAGUAAGCCUUUGAAACUGGGAAACUUGAGUGCAGGAGAGGAGAGUGGAAUUCCUAGUGUAGCGGUGAAAUGCGUAGAUAUUAGGAGGAACACCAGUUGCGAAGGCGGCUCUCUGGACCGUAACUGACACUGAGGCACGAAAGCGUGGGGAGCAAAUAGG
rnacentral:rRNA from 1 species